CCUACGGGAGGCAGCAGUGAGGAAUAUUGGUCAAUGGGCGAGAGCCUGAACCAGCCAAGUCGCGUGAAGGAUGAAUGAUCUAUGGUUUGUAAACUUCUUUUAUAUGGGAAUAAAGUGAGGAACGUGUUCCGUUUUGUAUGUACCAUAUGAAUAAGCAUCGGCUAACUCCGUGCCAGCAGCCGCGGUAAUACGGAGGAUGCGAGCGUUAUCCGGAUUUAUUGGGUUUAAAGGGUGCGUAGGUGGUUAAUUAAGUCAGAUGUGAAAGUUUGUGGCUCAACCAUAAAAUUGCAGUUGAAACUGGGUGACUUGAGUAGAUCUGAGGUAGGCGGAAUGCGUGGUGUAGCGGUGAAAUGCAGAGAUAUCACGAAGAACUCCGAUUGCGAAGGCAGCUUACUAAACUAUAACUGACACUGAAGCACGAAAGUGUGGGGAUCAAACAGGAUUAGAUACCCCAGUAGUC
rnacentral:rRNA from 1 species